rnacentral:rRNA from 1 species
UUUGCAGCCGCCGCGGUAAUACGGAGGAUCCGAGCGUUAUCCGGAUUUAUUGGGUUUAAAGGGUGCGCAGGCGGUCUUUUAAGUCAGUGGUUAAAUCGUGGAGCUUAACUCCAUCCCGCCAUUGAUACUGGAGGACUUGAUUGCGGUUGAGGUUGGCGGAAUUCGCCGUGUAGCGGUGAAAUGCAUAGAUAUGGCGAAGAACUCCGAUUGCGUAGGCAGCUGACCAAGCCGUAAAUGACGCUCAUGCACGAAAGUGCGGGGAUCGAACAGGAUUAGAUACCCUGGUAGUCCGCACAGUAAACGAUGAAUACUUGUUUUUGGCGAUACAGUGUCAGAGGCAAAGCGAAAGCGAUAAGUAUUCCACCUGGGGAGUACGCCGGCAACGGUGAAACUCAAAGGAAUUGACGGGGGCCCGCACAAGCGGAGGAACAUGUGGUUUAAUUCGAUGCUACGCGAGGAACCUUACCCGGGCUUGAAAGUUACCGAAUGCACCCGAAAAGGUGCAGCUCUUCGGAGCGGGAAACUAGGUGCUGCAUGGUUGUCGUCAGCUCGUGCCGUGAGGUGUCGGCUUAAGUGCCAUAACGAGCGCAACCCUUUCCGGUAGUUACCAUCAUUAGGUUGGGGACUCUACCGGCACUGCCAUCGUAAGAUGUGAGGAAGGAUGGGAUGACGUCAAAUCAGCACGGCCCUUACGUCCGGGGCGACACACGUGUUACAAUGGUCAGGACAGAAAGCAGCAAUGUGGUGACACAAAGCGAAUCUCGAAACCUCAUCCCAGUUCGGAUUGGAGUCUGCAACCCGACUCCAUGAAGCUGGAUUCGCUAGUAAUCGCGCAUCAGCCAUGGCGCGGUGAAUACGUUCCCGGGCCUUGUACACACCGCCCGU